UUACAGUCUGUGUUAAAUGUGCAUUUGAAAUAAAGAUUUUUCUUUUUAUAUAUGAAUUAGUGAAUGUGUGUUUCUAUUAAUAAAAUUGCAUUACUAUAAUUGUCUUAUAUCUGGAAGCUUCAACCUAUUGAGUGUUAUCUUAAAUUGAGUUACUGGUGCCAAUGCAGCCAUGAUAAUUUUAUUAGAUAAUAGAAAUUAAGACUAAAUUAAUGAGUAAUGGGUAAAGUGGUGAGCUUUCAGACAGGCAAACUCUUCUUUGUGUCUGAAAAGAAUGUAGGAAAAUCAUUUUGUAUUUAAUCUGUAUACUCCACUUGACAAAUUUACAUGAAAGAAUCUGAAAAUGACAGGAUAAUUGGCCUGUUGUAUUGUCUCCCUUCCUUCUUCCCACUGAAAGACUACAAAAAUGUGGUAGAGUGGUGUUUCCAGUUAAUAUUGUUGCUUCUUUUGUUUGAAAUGUGUGGUUUUGGAUUUGCCUCUAAGUUGGUUAAGUGGCUUCUUUUCAGAAAUAAGUAAUUGGCAAUCCUUCUUUGAUGGUAUCCUAUUUAUUGAGUAAAGUAACAGUUUCUAGAUAUGUAUUGACACAGUGACUGCUAUGCUAGAAUUUCUUUCAACUGGGGGUUGUAUUUGGUAGAAAGUAAAUGUUCUUCAGAUGCCAGAAUGAAUGACAGCUGGUCACUGAUGGGGGCUUCUUUGGCCUUGGGUGUUGCUUCUGGUGAAGUUGUUUUAAAGACGAAAUCUGUGUUCAGCUAUGGAUCUUGGUAUCUCAAAAGGAGAAUGUUUUGGGAAUGUCCUAACAAAAGAAAGAUCUGAUAUUUUGGGGAAAAAGGCUUCAGUGGCACCUGUGCUUUAAAGAAUUUAAAGAAUUUGCAUCUUACUGCAUACUGUAUUUGUUAGUAAUUGUUAUGAGAACUGUACCAGUCAGUCCUGCUCUCUCUGCACUUUCCCCCCAGUCCUCCUGAUCCAGGUGAGCUGUGUGUCAUGUACAAGGCAAAGCAUGAAUCUAGUCCCAUCAUCUCCUUCCAGGGUUGAAUGGCAUGGAAAAGGUGUUGUUUGGCUAUUAAUGGAGCCUGUUCAGGUCAAGAAAUGGCUCUGUGGCAUGUGUGAUGGAAAGAUGGGGGGAAUGUCUUGUAGACUUGGCCUUGCAGAUGAUUGGUUGGAUUGUGCUUAAAUUAGGAUUCUUCUGGGGUUAUAACACAGGUACAUACAUGGUUCAAUACUAACCUGAGAUGGUGUGUACUGAAUUUCUCAAGUGUGCUGUCCUGAAAUUGAACAGCCAGUGUAAUUUCUUCUUUUUUUUUUUUUUUUUUCCUUUGGUGACUAAAAAUUACCCAAACCAAUUCUGAUAAAGGGCUUUAAAGCCCAGGAGUUACAUGGGCAGCAUUUAUGGCCAGUUUGAGUCAAAGUGCUGUCACUUCUAGAGUGCAUGUGAUGAACAUGGAAUUCUUUUCUCUCAGUGAAAUAAAGCAUAAAGUGAACUUGAGACUUGAGAUAGUGCUUAUUUAGCAAUGCAUUGUACAAAUUUGAUCCCAUGAACCUGUUGUUUGUUUGAUCACAUGCAGCUUAUGCUGCCAAGAUUCAUUCUGUGGUCAGAGUUAGGUCGCUCUCCCAUCACCUGUAUAAGAUUAACUGCAUGGCUCUGUAUUACAGCUCAAUAAUUAUCUUCCUGGCUUUUGGAGAAUAAGUGUGAUUUUUUUUAUUUUUUAUAGUAUAUUGUUCAAGUAACUGAAGUGAGAAACAUAUUUGCAGGCUUAACUGUUAUCAGGUCCUUCACAGAACAGAGUAAGUGAGAGCUCACAAAGAAGUGACAGACUGGAGUCUUGACUUGGCUUCGCAUCAAAGUGUAAUUUUAACUUUUUGUGACCUGAAACCCUGACAAGUUUGUCUCCUUAGACCCUUUCUAAGUCACUUCUGCUUUAACAGAUCGAUUUUCACUCAGUGUGUUGCCAGGGAAGUGUGUAACCACCCUGUCGUGGUUGGGAGCCCAGAGUCUGGUACAGGAGCCAAAGUUGGUCCCUUUCUUGUCCCCAGUUUCACUGGGGAUCCUUGGUGGUACUCUGGGAGUUCUAAUUCAAAGAGAAAUCUUGCUGCUGGGUUCUGUCUCAAACUCCUUUUCCCCCACAAGGACAAACACUUUGGUCAUAUCCAGUUCCAAGUCGGGGCAUUUGUGCUUUAUUGCCAAAUUUAUUUUGGCUUCAGCCCAGCUGGGUGCUGGUGGGGGUAGUGCUGAGCUUUCUCUGAAGGUUACAAGUGUGAUUGGAGCCACAUGAGCUGAGUUCCCUUAACUAUCCCUGUCUGCAUUAGGAAUAGAGACUGCUCUUAAUUGGAGAGUUCCCUGUCCAUGUUCGACUCAGGGUUUCUUUGUGCUGUGCUUUGAAAUUCAGUCAGCAGGUCUGAAAUAAAUGUGGGAUUAUUAUUAACUACCAACUUUUGUGACCCUGACAUAUCUUGAUUUUUUAAAAAAAAAAUUAAAGACAUUUAGAACAUUUGCUAAUAGGCAUUCUGCUUUAAACCAGUGGCUUUUAAUGAAAUGUCUGCUUACUUCUUUCCCCAUAUUCAGUUUUUUUUCACUGUGUGCUGAAAAUGCUGUGUGCUCAGCAUUUUGGUAUUUGAGGAUGAAAUUACAUGUUGCAGCUGAACUGAUCUAACUCUGUCACCAAAGGAGAGACACCUGACCCUUCCUUCCUCCCCAUCCCAUCUGCACAGUCACUCUUCUUCCCUGGUGCAAGCCUUUGGCUCUGGCAGCUGUCACCUUGGCCAGGCCAGCUUUUAUCCAGGCAGGAACCUGCCUGCCUCAGCUGUGUUGGGAUUGUGGUGGGCUGGUUCCUUCAGGACUCAUGGAGCAAUGUUCUUACUUGUGCAUCCUGCAAGUAACAUAUCUGCAUCUUUUAUUUUAUUAUUAUUAUUUAGUCCUCAGUCCAGGAAGUUUUUCUAAGCCCUGCUGAAAAUGUGUCGGUGCUUUGCUACAAGGUUUUACCAAACCUUCAUGAAAGGGGAAGAUGAUAAGUGUCCUAUCCUUAACAUGGAUGAGAUUGCUCACUGGAAAUGAGUCUCCUCUGCAUGUGAUAUUCUGCAUUAGUUCAAGUCUUCAUGCUCUUGAGAAGUAACAUUUCAUUUGUUUGAGCUCUUUAAGGGUAAACCCAACAGAGAGGGAAAGAGGGAUGAAUCUCUAAGGUAGCAGCAAGUUCUUAAUUCUGCCUAAAAUGUUGUGAAACCACACCCUUAGGCAUGCCCUGCUUCAGUUUCUUAAACAGCAUAGAUAGGAGCUGACCAAUCACUUUUAGAGACUUUAAACACCCUCUGGUUAAUAAAUGACUUGCCCUGCUAUGCAGCAUUGUACAUGUUGAAGGGAGUGCCAGCUUUCACUCACCAUUCUUUGGUUUUCAGAAACACUGGCAAUUUUUUCAGCUUGCUUUUCAAACAAAAAGAUACUGCUUGGCUUAUUCACUAUUUGGCUGCUCCAAACUCUCUGUUAAAAGAGCAAGCUUUCAAAUUCAAGAAUGUUUUACAGACUUGAAUUAGUGUGCAGCCAGAUAAAUCAGGAGAAUUUGGUGUACAGAGACCUGCUCCCUAUUGUGGUUUGGCUUCUGGGUCUGUAGUGCUGUGAGCCAUGUCAGCAAAACCAGAAACAUUUUGUCCAGGUGGCCUGAGUCUUUUGUUCUGUAAAAGGUCCUCGUGAGCAACCCAUUUAUUGAGACAUAAAGAUAAAAUAGAAAUGACCCCUGCAAAUUAAGAAUUCCCCAUGCUCUCCUCCUCUGUGGAAGCCAUCCUUUGUCCUCCAUAAACCAGCACAUGGACUGGGCUUUCCAUUUUACCUUUGUUUGGAGAUCCUUUCCUUUGAGUUUUCUUGCUGACAGGUUUCUGAUGACAUUUGGAGGUAGGACUUUAUUUCUCAGCUUAUCUUACAUGCUAUCCUGUCAGGGGAGAUGCAAGCAGGGGGAGCAAGACUGUUGAGGACUCAGUCCUCCUGUUCAUUUCUUUGAGAGAAAAAAGUUACUUGUUUCUUCCUUAGGCAUGUUCCCAAGGGUUUUUCAUGCUAGUGUGCUCCCCUCUGGGAGCAGCCAGAGAAGGGAAGGUUGGUAGGUGUUGUAUCACAAAAUCAUAGAAUGUCCCAAGUUGGAAGGGAUUCACAAGGAUCAUUGAGUCCAACUCCUGGUGCUGCACAAGUUAAAUUCUCAUGUUUUUCCUCAUCAGAGUUGGGGAUGAGUUUCUGCAGAGGCUCUGUACUUAGAUUUUCCAGUUUCAGUUCCACAAGGCUCUGGCUGCCUCAUGUAACUCUUAAGUUAAUCCUGCUACAAGUGAGAAGUUCCGCUGAAGUCUUCCAGGUUUUCCUUCUAGCCAGUUUUGGUGUGGCUUUUUGUGGUUUUUUGGGGUUUUUUUUGGUUGGUUUUUCUUUUUUGUUUUGUUAUGGUUGGUUUUUCUUUUUUGUUUUGUUUUGGUUGGUUUUUUGUUUUUGUUUUGGUUGGUUGGGUUUUUUUGUUUUGUUUUCCUUUUGUUUUCUGUGAUUGCCAUGGAAUCUUUUUACUUCAAAUGUAAAAGUUUCACUUAAGGAAGUUUUCAGUUUAUGCUUUGGAUUGUUACUUUCUGUGACUGUACUGACAAACAAAGGACCUGUGCUAAAGGCCUGAGUCCCAGUGCUAAAUGUAGUAAUUAUAGAAGCUGAGACCUCACCAAAUCAUCUGAUCUGAAGCGAAUUCAAUUAUGCAUUAGUCCUGCCUGACAGGUGUGUGUCUAAACCAGUCUUUCAUUAUUUUUCUGGCAACUUCUUCCAACACUGUCCUUGUGCUGGAAACUUUUCCUGAUGACAAAGCUGAAUAUCCCAUGUAAUCUGAGUCUAUUCUUGGAUCACGUGGAGGUGGAAAAUAAUUAAUUCCUUUCCUCUUUGUAGUUCUAUGCAUGAAAAUCUUACCACUGCUUUGUGGUCUUCUCUCCAAAUCAUACAUCCCUGGCUCUUCACCCUUCCCUGUUUGUCAGGUUUUCUUGAUUUACAACAACUCUUGUAGAUGUUUUCUGAACAUUUAAUCACUGAAUGUAUCACAAGCACCAGUAUCUUACUUUUUAUAGUAAAAGAAAACAUUAAAAUUCAGAGCAAGUCCAGGAAGUGGCUCUUAUCCCAUCCUGGAAACAAGGGCAAAGGAAAAUCCUUGCCAAGCUUUCACAAUUCUUACGGCUUCAGCAGAAACAGGAGGGGAAGAAGCUUCAUGGUUACCUGGGAAAAUCAGGCCCUUGGCUUUUGGAGAAAUCAGCAACAGCCCUGAAGUAUGGGAUUAAAUGCAUGAGCAGUAUGUGGCAAACAAACAGUGAAUCAGUCUGCUUUCAGAGCCUCUUGGCUACAUCAGCAGCUUGGACACACUGCUUGAUUUUCUGUCUUUAGAAGUAAUUUCUAUUAAGUUUAUUUAUUUAUGCAGCUGAUGAAGCUCUGGUUUAUAGUACCUUAUGGUGUUGGUCCUGCUGCAAAGCUCUGUCAGAACUAUCCUUAAAAACAGUUGUCCAAAAAGGCAUGAGGGAUUUCCACAUGGUGUCAUAGCAAAGCCUUAGACAGGUGUUUGUUACACAUGCAGUGAGUCCUUCAGCUGGCCGUGCCAGUUCCUGUCCACAAAAUUGCUUAUGCCUCUGGUACCCUCUAAUUUAUCCUAUCAAACCAGUUUGUGGGGCUGAAUGUAAAAUGGGUCAUGUAAUUGGAUUAAUAAUAAUGGGUGGGGGGCACUGCUUGAUUCUGGGGUUGUUAUUAACUUGGAUCUGUCCACUUACCUGGUUCAUCACACAGGUAAUGCAGGUUGGAACUGCUCCUCUGGGAAACUUUAUUCUCCCAAAUCACGUAGUUAACAGUGAUCAGAGGUUAUUUUUGAUAGAAAGAGAUAUGUCUUGAAAACCUCAAUUAAAUUUCCUCCCAAUUAACAGUUAUCCUGAUCAUGGAGACACUUUUACAAAGGGGCUUCUUUCCAGGUAUAGUGACCUGCAGCUGAUUUGGCUGGCUGUUUCUCCCUGAAUUUUUAUUUAGGCUGAAACCUUCUCCUGAAACUUCACUUGGAUAGACUUUUUGCUGACUUAACUAUGCUUUUACCUGAAAGCAUAAUUUGUACCUCCUCAGAGGCCAUCAGUAUGUUUAGAAAUGGCAGCUUUUAGCAUUGCACAGUGAAAGAAAAGAGAGCAAAAGUGGGUCAGUUUGAUGGGUCAGCUCUAGAAUUAUUGAAUCCAUUUGUGCAGAAUGGAUUUUUAGAAAAAUUCCUCACCAUGUGAGAGCUCGCCUGGGUGGGUGAAGAUUAUUGUGGUGCAUAAAAAACAUACCCUGCCAAAACAAGAUACAUGCUACAGCAGAUUUGAGGUUUCUGGCCUUUGUAAGUCAGAGCCCUUUGGAUUUAUCUACAUGAGUCUUAUUUUUGGAGAAGGGGUUUAUUUAUUUAAGUGAAUCUCCUGGUUGUCACCACUGCCUGUACUUUCAUUUACAUUUUUGGUUGUGCUGCCCUGUUUCUUCUAAACUAAACUGCAAGAUGCACUCCAGAAUCAGAGGUAGUGCACUCCAGCCACUAAUAAGUGUUCAGUCCACAACAUAAGGCUGAGCAAUACAGGCUGCCUAGCCACAUUUGGGAAAAAAAAAAAAAAAGUUAAAAAUCUCAUAUUGGAGGACGUGUCCUGAGACCAGUUGAAACUGGUUGUUUCUUUCUGGAAUCUGCUCUUACUGUACUGCACCAUCUGCUAUUUUGAAAAUAGCUUUUAUUUAUUUUUAUUUUUUUUUAGUUUAAGUCAAAAUUAAGGUCAUACUAAAGAACUUAAUAGGAAGUUUGGGCUUCUUGUAAUAAAACAAAAGGAUUUCCUUUGAACUUAAGCUUUCACAUAUUUUUAGUGUUAAGAUUUUUUUUUCCCAUAUGGAAUCAAUCUUGUGUUCAGUGUAUGUAAAAUGCCAUCAUAGGAAAGUAAUCUGAGGAGCACUUAAUUUUUAUUUAUCCUGGGAAUACACAACUCAUUAUAUUGUUUCUUUUUUCAUCUUCACUCUAUGUGUACAAUUAUUCUAUGUAUAUUUUAAUGCCUUCCCUGAUGCCUCAUAUGUUGAAGAAUCUGAGUUUCUCUGGCAUUACUUAACUCAUUCUCAUAUUUUCCUUUCCUGCUUCUACCCUUUGCAGAUCAGCUGAACACCUUUUAAAAUUAAAAUUUAAAAAAUAUUUUUUUUAAAAUUUGGAAUUUUAAAAUUCUCAAAAUUAUAUUAUCUUUAUUAAAAAAAGGUAAUUCUUUGUGUCUUUGGGAAUCUUUUUCAUUUGUGGUUGACUUGUCCACUGCCCAUCAACUUCAGCUUAGUUCCACUGAGUUGCUCAGUUGUCUUCUCAUCCCAUGUCAGCUUUCUCUUUUUUCAGUUUUUCACUUUAUGUGCUGACUUCACCUGAACCUGUAUGAAAAUUCCAGCUUGAAUAUUGAAACAGAUUUGUUGCAAGUGCUGUGAAUUCAUUCACAUCCCAUCUUUGUCCUGUAGAAGAACUGGGAGUUCUUUCUUUCCCAUUCUUCAGUUUUUCAGAAAUCGUUGUUGGGGUUUCUGACAAAAGCUCUGUCCUCACAAGCUGCUGUGCUCUGCAGAUUUGGGGUGUUGCCCCUACAGAAUUUAUCAUGCACAGGGCUGAGCCCAGCUUGGUUGGGUGGAUGUGUUCUGGAACAUGAGCCUUGUGCUCAGGGCUGAUACUGCCUGAGCUGGUGUGGCACAGAGGGGUUGGACAGAUGUGUUAUUCCCUUCAUGAUACAUGCUGAGGGUAGCACCAGAGUCAUCAGGUCCCCAGAUGAGGUCAGACCUGAUGCUAUCAGGUGUGUUCAGAGCUGGAGAGUAACAAAACCAGCUCCUGAACCACAGAAUUGGGAUGAAUUAUCUUCUGAAUUAAGUUGCAAGUACUUUAUUGAAAAACAUGGAAUAGCUUCUGAGCCAAAGCUGCAGCCAGGCCUGCCAGAAGUCCUGCACUCUCUGAUUAGCAUCAUCUGCUGUGUCUGUGCAGGGGCCAAACUGACUCUGCUUCAUCUGCUGGGACCUGGGGUGAGGGGGAAGCUCUAAGCAGCAGUGCCCCUCUGGGGGUGUGUGUGGUGCUGUGCUGCACUGCUCCAUGGCCUUGGGAUACUGCAAAGGUUAUGGGAUCUGAACCCAUCCAGCCCCUACUUAGGGAUGUUUGUUCUCCGUGGGGUAAAGUUGUUUUUAUUCUCUGUACAAGCAUUGAUCCUGUAGUGCAAGGUUUGGCCUUCUACUGCAUUCAGUCAUUUUGCCACCUUGCAGAAGAAACUGAAGCUGUUGCAAGCAAGAAGAGUUGGGGAUGUUUCUGGCUAAGGCUUGUUCAUAUCCUUGGGUAAGUGGAUUUUAAGGGGUUUUUUUAUUUUUUUUUUUUUUACCCUUGACAUGUUCUGGGCAGAUGUCCAGGCCCUUGAAGUUCUGCCAGGGAGAUGCUGUAAUGUGUUGAGCACGCUGUUCCCUGGUCCUAUUCCUGUCCUGCAGUUGGUGUUGUGACUGUACCUAGACAGUUGUUCCAUGGCAGGGCUGUGCCUCCCCUGUGCCCGCAUCCCCAGCUCUAUAACAGAGGUUGCUGUGGCCACUGAGCAGCUGUUUUUGUAGGCUCUUUAUGGAAACAGAAAGAUGUGUUGCAGUGCUAAUAAUUGAUUUGAUUCUAAAGCAUGAUUGAAUAAAGGAAAGCAAAGUAACCACCCUGCUCUCACCAAAACAUGUGAUGUGUAUGUGGCUUCAUAAGGCUUGGCAUAAAUGCUGUAAAACUGAGUGACAGCUGAGAUGCUCCAGCACCUCAGAUGGUUCUUGUGGCAGCAGAUUUCUCAUGGCCAGGCAUUUACAGACUUAGCAUGAUCAGGCAUUUGGCUUCUGAGGCUGCAGGAGCAUCAGAGCUUGCUGAGCCUUUCCUUUGCUGGGUGCAGAGGCCUGUAUUCACUGUUCUGUGUGGAUGUGCACCAGAGGCACAUCCAUUUACAGAACCAAAUCCACUGGAAGUUGGAGUAAUCAGCAGAGGGUGGUUCCAGUUCUCCUGUGGUACUGGCUCCUGCCCCAUGUUCAUGGUUGUCCUAUCCUUGCCUGGGACUGCUCAGCCCAGGACAGUGUAGAAGCAAUAUCCAACUUCUCUGUGCACCAGAGUGCAUCUGUUCAGCCUCUAUUGAACAUACCUUCCCCUCCCCUGACCUCAUGCUCUGCUGCUGCCAAAGACCCAUAGCUGGCUGAGCAAUAGCAGCCUGCUCAGCACAGUGCAUGGAGGAGGUCCUGACUCCCACUGGAACGUGAUCCAGCACCAACUCUGGGCUCUGCUGCUGCCUCCACCCUCCACAUCCCAUUCCCCAAGCACUGUACAAGCAAAGUUUGUACAUCUGUUUCUGCUGGACUUUGGAUUCAAUAAAUCUUAAAAAAUUAUUUUGUUUGGUUUAUUUCAGUGUGUUGACACAAGUUCUUGUCCCAUUGCAGCUAGUGUUUGUACACCACUUGCUCUGGCAUGGAGAGCUGUGGGAAGCUAGGAUUGCUGGCGAGGGGAGUGGGAAGAGGAAUGCUACAGGCAAAAUACUGGACAAGAAUAGAGAGGGGAAAAAAUGAAAAGUGUUCCAAAAUAUGAAAGAGAAAAAGCAGAUAGAGAUAAAAUUUGGAAAGAUUGUGGAGUGGUCACUGGGGUCUGUCCUGAAGAGUAAGUCUCAAACUCUCCCAUUAGUAAUGAUACAACAGACACAAACCCUAUCUACAAAUCUCCAGAUUCUUUCUGUGGAACUUCCAUCUAACCUUCAUAUGCCCAAACAUACUCAACCAUUCCUUACAGCUUCAGAUGUCCCAGUUAUCCCUGACUGCAAAGAGGUUACCUCUGAAUGUGUGGUCAGCAAGGUCCUGCCCUUUGCAGCACCUUCUACACCCAUUGCAUUGAAUGCUUGGGCUGAGUUGCAGUAGAAUGUGUUUCCCCUUUGGAAUGUUCAUGGGCAGGGAAUGGUCCAUGUGUCAGUGAUCAAGUUCAUCUGUCUGCCAACAUCUUUAGCCCAGCAAGUGCAGAGCAGGAAGAGUCUGAUGUAUCUGGCUAUAACUCACUGGAAAAGUAUAUUUUCUGUGAUUGCUGGGCCUUGCAUGUCAGUCCUUUGGCAUGUCAUCAGAGGGGAUCUCAGCACAGAUCCCUGUGGGUGUUGCCUUCCCUGUUCCCUUGUGCCCAGUGGCAAGUUUGACAUGUUUGAACCUUGGUGUUCUGGGGGAUGUCAUCACUUGGCUUUC